rnacentral:lncRNA from 1 species
UUCGGAUCAUGAUCAAUAUAUACACCAGUUCUCUGAGUCUCGUUCUCUCAUUUCAUGUCAAUCAUUGUAUUCAUUCCCUAACCUAAGUCUCAAACGAUUCAUUUUCCCAAAUUCACAUCUAAAAUAACACAUUGUUUUCAUUCCCUAACCUAAGUCUCAAACGAUUCAUUUCCCCAAAUUCACAUCUAAAAUAACAAUCUCCUUUUACUUUUACUCUAAUAGUUCGUCAAGGAUCGAUUUUGCAAGUUCAUCCGGUUUAGCAUUCCACUUCUUCAUUUUCACCGCAAAAGUAAGCUUCAUAUCUUAGUUGCAGGUAUCAAAGUAGUGGUGAAUUGCAGCGCAAGAGAAAGGGUUUCAAAACGGGUUUCUAUAUAUCAAAGUAGCGGUGAAUUGCAGCGCGAGAGAAAGAGUUUUAAAAUGGGUUUCUUUGUUUUUUUAUUCAUAAUCACGUUGAAUAUAGAGAAAGAGUAUAAUAACCAUUAAUUUUGAAUCUUAUUUUAGAUCCGAGCUGGGUACCAAUUGACAGGGAAUCCAACCAUU